rnacentral:rRNA from 1 species
CCUACGGGAGGCAGCAGUGAGGAAUAUUGGUCAAUGGACGAGAGUCUGAACCAGCCAAGUAGCGUGAAGGAUGACUGCCCUAUGGGUUGUAAACUUCUUUUAUAUGGGAAUAAAAUGUUCCACGUGUGGGAUUUUGUAUGUACCAUAUGAAUAAGGAUCGGCUAACUCCGUUCCAGCAGCCGCGGUAAUACGGAGGAUCCGAGCGUUAUCCGGAUUUAUUGGGUUUAAAGGGAGCGUAGGUGGAUUGUUAAGUCAGUUGUGAAAGUUUGCGGCUCAACCGUAAAAUUGCAGUUGAAACUGGCAGUCUUGAGUACAGUAGAGGUGGGCGGAAUUCGUGGUGUAGCGGUGAAAGGCUUAGAUAUCACGAAGAACUCCGAUUGCGAAGGCAGCUCACUGGACUGCAACUGACACUGAGGCUCGAAAGUGUGGGUAUCAAACAGGAUUAGAUACCCUUGUAGUC